rnacentral:rRNA from 1 species
UUGACGGGUUGUAGCUGGCCUCUCACGAGGCAUGUGCACGCCUGGCUCAUCCACUCUUAACCUCUGUGCACUUUAUGUAAGAGAAAAAAAUGGUGGAAGCUUCCAGGAUCUCGCGAGGGGUCUUCGGUUGAACAAGCCGUUUUUCUUUCUUAUGUUUUACCACAAACGCUUCAGUUAUAGAAUGUCAACUGUGUAUAACACAUUUAUAUACAACUUUCAGCAACGGAUCUCUUGGCUCUCGCAUCGAUGAAGAACGCAGCGAAAUGCGAUAAGUAAUGUGAAUUGCAGAAUUCAGUGAAUCAUCGAAUCUUUGAACGCACCUUGCACUCCUUGGUAUUCCGAGGAGUAUGCCUGUUUGAGUCUCAUGGUAUUCUCAACCCCUAAAUUUUUGUAAUGAAGGUUUAGCGGGCUUGGACUUGGAGGUUGUGUCGGCCCUUGUCGGUCGACUCCUCUGAAAUGCAUUAGCGUGAAUCUUACGGAUCGCCUUCAGUGUGAUAAUUAUCUGCGCUGUGGUGUUGAAGUAUUUAUGGUGUUCAUGCUUCGAACCGUCUCCUUGCCGAGACAAUCAUUUGACAAUCUGAGCUCAAAUCAGGUAGGACUACCCGCUGAACUUAAGCAUAUCAAUAA